GUCCUCCUACCAGCGCAGGCAAAGCACCUCCUUCUAGAGUCCGUUCCAGAACCCGUCACCACCAUCGCAAUCCCGGAACACAUUGAUCUGAUCCGUCCGGCACACGAGAAACCGAACAAUAAUUAUUAUAAACUUUGGAUAAGAAUAUAAAUACACAAACUCACUUAUACGAUUGAACAACAGCCACACAUUUAGAAUAAUUUUAAAGUGUCCUUUAAGAACCACUUUAUACUUUCAUCACCACAGCCAAAUCCCUCAAAAGAAAUCCCUGAAACUUCAUUUCCUUCCGUGUCAAUUCAAAGUGCCUCGUUCUUCAAUUUCCUUCAUUGAAACAAGCAUUCAGGUGGUGCUCCUGUAAAUUUUCUAAGAUGCCAAGAAGGAAGGUUAUUUCCAAUCGCGAACGUGUUGGUACCGCGAGGCAACUGAGACCCCAACCUAAUCCAGCUAAUAAGGUAAUUUUUGGGUGAUUCUGGCAAGCUGUGAGAAAAAGCUGAUUCCAGAGACAGAGAAAGAGCUACAAAUACUAUCAAAUUCUGAGCUCCGUGCAUUCAAACGAGCAUAUAUGGAGCUACAGUGGUCCAAAUAGAGCAUUCUCAAUGGUGUUGGAAAGCAAACUUCUAGGGCUUUCCAUCAAUAUAUAAUAGUUCAUACUUUGCUCUAGAAAUGAUGGCCCAAAACUGGCGUUCAACGCCCUCAUCACCCAUUGUCUGGCGUCCAACGCCUACAAAGGACCAAGGCUGGUGUUCAACGCCCCAAGGGGAGUCCCAGCUCAUGACUACAUCCCAAGCUCAACCCAAACACUCACCAAGUGGGACCAGGAAGCAGAUUUUAGUACUAAGAGUCCAGUCUAUCUUAUUUCUGUAAUCUCUAGUUAUUAGAUUAGUAUUUAAAGGAGAAGGUCACCCUUGUCUAGGAUCUUCUACCACCCCAUUCGAACAUUUUACUAUUUUCUGUAAGUUAUGAGCAACUAAACCUCCUAAGUUAGGGUUAGGAGCUCUGCUGAUUCU